AUUGAACGCUGGCGGCAGGCCUAACACAUGCAAGUCGAACGAGUGGCGGACGGGUGAGUAAUGUCUGGGAACGUGCCUGAUCGAGGGGGAUAACUACUGGAAACGGUAGCUAAUACCGCAUACCAUCGGAUGUGCCCAGGUGGGAUUAUCUAGUAGGGGGGGUAAUGGCUCACGAAGGCGACGAUCCAUAGCGGGUCUGAGAGGAUGACCGGCCAAACUGGGACUGAGACACGGUCCAGACUCCUACGGGAGGCAGCAGUGGGGAAUAUUGGACAAUGGGCGAAAGCCUGAUGCAGCCAUGCCGCGUGUAUGAAGAAGGCCUUCGGGUUGUAAAGGACUUUCGGCGGGGAGGCGGUACUCGAAGAAGAAGCACCGGCUAACUACGUGCCAGCAGCCGCGGUAAUAC
rnacentral:rRNA from 1 species